UACGUAGGGGGCAAGCGUUGUCCGGAAUCAUUGGGCGUAAAGCGCGUGUAGGCGGUCCGUAAGUCCGCUGUGAAAGUCGGGGGCUUAACCCUCGGAUGCCGGUGGAUACUGUCGGGCUUGAGUACGGAAGAGGCGAGUGGAAUUCCUGGUGUAGCGGUGGAAUGCGCAGAUAUCAGGAGGAACACCGAUGGCGAAGGCAGCUCGCUGGGACGGUACUGACGCUGAGGCGCGAAAGCGUGGGGAGCGAACAGG
rnacentral:rRNA from 1 species